GGGAUAUUAUGUAAUGCUUAUGGUGGAUGCCUAGGUAAUUUGAGCCGAAGAAGGACGGGUGCUUAAGCCCGAUAUCGUCGAUGAGCCCUUAAGCAGGCACUUCAAUCGGCGGUUUCCGAAUGGGAUAACCCUUUAACCAGCUUUAGAAAUGAUGCUGGGGGGAACCUGAUGAACUGAAACAUCUAAGUAAUCAGAGGAAGAGAAAUCAACAGAGAUUCUGUGAGUAGCGGCGAGCGAAAGCGGAACAGCCCAAACCACUCCCUCGGGAGUGGGGUUGCGGGACGUGCAAUGUGGGAUCACAAAGCGUUAGGAGAAUGGUCUGGAAAGGCCAGCCAUAGAAGGUGAUAGCCCUGUAUUCGAAAACGCGAUGUGCCCUAGCGCGACUCCCAAGUACUACGGGACACGGAAAACCCUGUAGGAAUCUGGGGCGGUCAUGCUCCAAGGCUAAAUACUCAAAUUAACCGAUAGUGAACAAGUACCGCGAGGGAAAGGUGAAAAGUCCCCCGGCGAGGGGAGUGAAAUAGAACCUGAAACCAUAAGCUAACAAACCGUGAGAGCUUCACCUUCGGGUGGGGUGAUCACGUGCCUAUUGAAGAAUGAGCCAGCGAGUUUUCAAUGUCUGCGAGAAGCCACCAUAAUACAAUGUUUCAUUGCGAAACGUAAAGCAUUUUAAGCGAAGGAAGUGAAGAUUGACAAAGAAGUAGCAAAACGCUACUUUUAGGAGAUCUGAGCUUCCUGCAGCCAAAAUGAUUUAUGUUGUAGUAGAAAUAAUGUGUUAUGGUGGCUUCAAAGGUUAACCAAUUUUAAUUGGGAAGCCAUAGCGAAAGCAAUUUUCUGUGAAAGCAGAAAAGGGUCUUAAUUAGGGCCUUGAGUAGAUAUUGACGGACCCGAAACCAGGUGAGCUAACCAUGAGCAGGGUGAAUUUCGAGUAACAUCGGAAGGAGGCCCGAACCCGUUAUCGGUGAAAUGAUUUGGGAUGACUUGUGGUUAGAGGUAAAAUGCCUAUCGUACCUGGAGAUAGCUGGUUCUCCCCGAGAUAUAUUUAGGUAUAGCCUUUUAGAGUAACGUGUGGGGUAAAGCUACUGAAUGGAUCAAGGAGGCUUACGCUAACUUGAUCCAAUCAAACUCUGAAUACGCACGCUUGGAUCUAAAGGAGUCAGACUUGCUCGGAUAAGCGAGUAUGGUCGAAAGGGAAACAGCCCAGACUCCCAUCUAAGGCCUCCAAAUGAUCGUUAAGUGGGUAAGGAAGUGAGAUUUCAAAGACAGACGGGAAGUUGGCUUAGAAGCAGCCAUCUUUUAAAGAAAGCGUAACAGCUCACCGUAAUAUGUUGCCUUCGGGCGACAUGAGGUCUUGCGCCGAAAAUGAUCGAGGCUCAAACGAUCUGCCGACGAUGGAGAUUUAUCCAGCCUAGCUGGAUGAGUGGUAGGGGAGCUUUCUAUAUGCAGCGAAGCUGUCGCCGUAAGGCAUGGUGGAGCGUAUAGAAGUGAGAAUGCUGGCAUAAGUAGCGAAUCUUACGGUGAAAAUCCGUAAUGCCGAAAAUCCAAGGUUUCCUCAGCAACGUACAUCGACUGAGGGUUAGUCGGAUCUAAGGGCUCCUCCGAAAGGAGCGUCUCGAUGUACAAGCCGUUAAUAUUCGGCUACCGUGUAGUAUGCGUUAUUAUGUUUGCAGUGACGAAAUGGGUUAGGCAGGGCCUUCUAUAUGAAGGUUUAAGCAGCAAGUCUUCGGGCAAGCUGUGAAUACAACCUUACGCAAGUGAGGGAGUCUGCUGACAUCCGUUUCCGGGAAAAGCUGCAUGCAGAGUGUGCUAUGCGUCCGUACCGCAAACCGACACAGGUGGAUUGGUAGAGUAUACCAAGGCAUUCGAGUAAUGGUAGUUCAAGGAACUCGGCAAACAAGCUGGACGUAACUUCGGGAUAUGUCCUCCCUGAAUAGCAAUAUUUAGGGCGCAGCUAACGACUUUCAACUGACUGUUUAGCAAAAACACAGCUCCCUGCAAACCGGAAACGGGACGUAUAGGGGGUGAGGCCUGUCCAGUGCUGGUAAGUUAAGAAUUGGGGUUGACUUCUGUAAUUUAUUAUGGACAGAGGCUCUGAUUUAAGCUCCAGUGAACGACAGCGGUAACUCUGACCGUUCUAAGGUAGCGUAGUCCCUUGUCGGGUAAGUUCCGACCUGCAUGAAUGGCUUAACAAGUUGAAAACUGUCUUGAACUACUGCUCGGCGAAAUUGCAAUGGCUGUGAAGAUGCGGCCUUCCUGCACCAGGACAAAAAGACCCCGGGAGCUUUACUGAAACUUAUUAUUGACAAGAGAUUAUUAACUGUUUAGCGUAGGAGGGAGACUUUAAGUCGACAAUGAAACACCUCUCUUUAAUAAUCUUGCGUCUGACCUUGCGAAAGUGAGGGACAGUGGUAGGUGGUCAGUUUAACUGGGGCGGUUUCCUCCAAAAGCGUAACGGAGGAGCGCAAAGGUUGGCUUGUUCCGGAUGGAAAUCGGAAUGUACGUGUAAACGCAUAAGCCAGCUUGACUGUGAGGGAUACAACCCGAUCAGGUUCGAAAGAAGGCGUUAGUGAUCCCCCGAUCGAUUAUGAUUGUCGGCGGGGCUUAACGGAUAAAAGCUACCCCGGGGAUAACAGGCUAGUCUCUCCUGAGCGUUCAUAGCGACGGGGAGGUUCGGCACCUCGAUGUCGGCUCGAUUAGGGUCGCUGCCUGAGUAAUCAGGCAUGAAAAACAACUAGCUCAUAACGGUGGACUCCAUGCUAGAAUGAACUAUUCAAUAUGGACAAUACCGUGGGAAGUCAGCAAUUACGAUGAUUAAAAUAUCCUUCACCUAACGGAUAUAAAAUUGCUUGACCCCGUAACGACUGAUCCCAAGGCAUAAUGCUACGGGUGAGAUAGAAAUGUUCAAGUUCUAUCAAACGCUAGUCCCCAUAUGGUGAAAUAUGGGUGAAGGUAUAGUCUACACUGCAAGUAAUUGCAGAUUUUGUGCAUCGCAUCCUGGGGCUGUAGUAGAAUAAUCUGCUAUCCUUCAUGGAAACAUGAGGGUAAUAUACGGAUCCAAAACGGUGAAGACCAUAUUGUUCGUGAAUUAACAGAGUUCACAAAAGUUUCACUUAUAUAGUGUAAACUCGAGAUCAUUAUGGUUAAUACCGUGGGAAAGAACUGUUCCGAAGCUGAUAAAGCUUAUAUUGCAGGUUUUCUUGAUGCUGAUGGUGCUAUUAUGGCUCAUGUUGAGCGUAAUAGCGAGUUAAUCUAUAAAUUUCGAGUGCGAGUCUCAAUUGCCUUAUAUCAAUCACAAAAUGCAGUUAUUGAGUGGAUGUAUAAAAAACUUGAGACUGGUUCAGUUACUAAGCAGCGGAACUUGUAUAAGUGGAAUACAACUGAUCAGAAUGCUGUAAGGGUAAUUUUGACAGUGUUGAAACCAUAUUUGCGGGUUAAGAAAAAGCAAGCUGAACUUGCUUUAUCAAUUAUGAAUACACCCAUCUGUUCAAAAAGAAAACUUCUUUAUGUAGCAACAUUAGCUGAUGCAUUGUGUUCACUGAAUGUCAGAUCUCAAAAUUCUGGCAUGAAGAAUGUAACAAUGAUCAAGGAAUACUUCUCCUGUAACGACUAAGUGUGAUGAUUUGAGUUAUCACACAAGAUAGAUUCAUUCAAUUGAAUUUAUAAUACGGUCCGCACCUACGUUGUGCUUGGUGACAAGCGGCAAUAUGGUGAAGGUAUAGUCUGACACUUGUAGUAAUACAAGAUUACAGAUUGAGGUCCCAAGGGUUGGUCUGUUCGCCCAUUAAAGCGGUACGCGAGCUGGGUUCAGAGCGUCGUGAGACAGCUGGUAACACGCUGAACUGUCUCUUUUCCUAGACGUAAAAAUAAAUCUUUUUGUCCAUAACAUAAUAGGAAAAUAUAAAUCUGGCUAUAUGCUGGAACAUCUUGAUAAGAGUAGGUUACUCGGAUAUAAUCCAGUGAAAAUAUCUGCUCGUUUUACGGAGUUGCCUUUGGGCUCCUGUAAGGCAAGACAAUCAGCAGGAAAGACUAGAUAUAAACGAUCUUCACCAUUGAAGAUAUGAAAUCUAGAAUCCCCACAGACUAUACGCCAGACAUAGCGGUAUAAUAAUGCUGCUUAAAGAUAUAGUCGAAUCCCUAUGGUGACAUAGGGUACUAACAAUUAGAGUAUGUCGGACUCUAUCCGGUGCAGGCGUUUUGAUUUUUGAGAGGACUCGCUUCUAGUACGAGAGGACCGAAGUGAGGGAAUCCCUGGUGUACCAGUUGUCUCAUAAGGGCAUCGCUGGGUAGCUAUAUUCCUAUGAGAUAAGCACUGAAAGCAUCUAAAGUUCGAAACUCACCUCAAGAUGAGAAAUCUAUCCAGCACCAUUUUUGUAUUAUAGAUCUUUCUAUAGCACAGAAAUGGUGCUGGUCAGGCCCCCAGUAGAUCACUGGGUUGAUAGGCGCACGGUGUACGCUCCGUAAGGAGUUUAGCCUAUGCGUACUAAUGGCCGAAAUAAUAUCCCGC
rfam:Candidatus Roizmanbacteria bacterium RIFCSPLOWO2_01_FTLL_42_14 rifcsplowo2_01_scaffold_11676, whole genome shotgun sequence.